UACGUAGGUGGCAAGCGUUGUCCGGAAUCAUUGGGCGUAAAGCGCGCGCAGGCGGUUUCUUAAGUCUGAUGUGAAAGCCCACGGCUCAACCGUGGAGGGUCAUUGGAAACUGGGAGACUUGAGUGCAGAAGAGGAAAGCGGAAUUCCACGUGUAGCGGUGAAAUGCAUAGAGAUGUGGAGGAACACCAGUGGCGAAGGCGGCUUUCUGGUCUGUAACUGACGCUGAGGCGCGAAAGCGUGGGGAGCAAACAGGAUUAGA
rnacentral:rRNA from 1 species